CUUCUGCAGUGUUCUAUUAGUCACACGGUUCAUCCCUGAUUUAGAGUGUAAGCAGAUGGCAUCAUGGUGUGGAUACCAGGAGGGUGGGGAUCACUGGGAGCCAUCCUGGAAGCUGACUCAGGCAGAAGAAAGGAGAUAAUUACUGGAACAAUGUCUCCUCAUAGGCAUGAGUACAUAGAAUUUAGUGCAAAAGGAGAAGAAAUAGCCUUUGUUAGGGACACAGAGGAGCAUUUGAUAGUAACAGUAUAGAGGUGCAGUUAGAGGAAGGUAGGAAGAUCUUAUGGUAGGAGCUUGUGCACAUUCUCGUCUAAUUUUUUCUGUUUCUCAGUGAAAUAGGAAACAAGGUCUUAGGUCAAGAGUGAGGAUUGGGAAGAAGGUGUUUGCUAGACAUUCAUCAGUAUUUCAAGUUUUUCAGUAUCUUUUAAGUGAUGCAGUGCUCAUUGCCACUAACCCUUGUUUGGUCAUAUUAUAAAGGAGGAAAAAAAGUUCUAUUUUUUGAUCAUUGUUCUAUUGUAAGAAGCACAGCCCGAGCUUUAGUAAAGUGAAAAAGCCCCAACUCUGUGUAUAUAUAUAUUUUUCAUUUUAAGGACAGUAAUUUUUUCUUUUUGAUUUCAAGAACUUUCUAUGUUUACAGCAUAGAAAGUUUUAUGCUAUAAGCAUCUUUUGGUGCAAUUAGACAACUUUGUUACUUCUGCUGAUAGAAUAGAGUAAAAUACAGAUAAUAAUAUUUGCUUAAAGGAGACAUUUUAAAAAAUAAGACAUGGUUUGUCUUAGCCCGAUCAGCCUAAAACCACCAGGGACAACCUGUAAACAAACCAAUCGAGUUUACUGACUCAUUGCAGUGUGGGGACUGCACAACAGAGCAACUGUGAGGUAUCUCAUCAAACAAAGGAAAAUAUAGAGUUAACAUAGGGUUUUGCUGAAGAGUGAAAUUUAGGUGUGAUGUAAAUGAGGUGAUGUUCUAUGGGCUCUAAGCAAGUAUGGUUGUGUAUAAAAGGGGUCAGCCUCAGCUCUGUACUGUGAAAUGGACCUAUGGUCCUUGUCUUAGUCCAUUUUGUGUUGCUAUAAAGGAAUAUUUGAGGCUGGGCAAUCUCUAAGGAAAAGAGGUUUAUUUGGCUCUCUGUUCUGCGGGCUGUACAAGAAGCAUGGCACCAGCAUCUGCUCCUGGCGAGAGGCUCAGGCUGCUUCCACUCAUGGUAGAAGCUUGCUCUGGCUAACAACCACUAUCAUCAAAGCUGUCUGAGGAAGACCUCCUGUUGCUGCGACUGACGGGACUCUUGGUGGAAGCCCUAUUCCUAUGUGCCCACGGCUGCAGCUCCCCAAGGGAGCAGGACAUUGUUGGAUUCUCUAAGAAGCUCAGAGGAAGUCACUUCUCACUGUGGUGCCAUAUGGGACUUGAAGUCGUUCUACUCAUACUCUGUUUUUCAGUAAAGCUGCUUUUGCCUCUG